rnacentral:lncRNA from 1 species
GCUUGUUGAGCUUUAAGCUUUGAUACCAUAAUAAAGCUGAACUAUCUUUUGAAGUUGUAUCGUUCUUAUAAUAUCUUCACAAUCUUGUAUACAGAUACAUAUACAAUCAAUUGAUAAGUUCCACCUCUCCAGUUUUUUUAGCAGGUUGUCCAACAUCCAGCUAGCGUUAUACAUCUACAGGUGUUCCCUGUAGGAAGCCGUUGUCCGGGGAACCAAAGCUCUUUGUCAAGAUGAUUGAGAAUUGCAUUAAAGGAACAGUCAAACGUCAAUCCUCAGCACCUUACCAUGGUAGGAGCCUGAGGGGUACGAGUAAUGUCGGUUAUAAUACGAAUAAAGGCAACACAUACAAAGAUAAUCAUAAGAAUACUGGGCCUAGCACUAGCGUAGCUCGACGUCCAUCUUAUAACUGUCACAAGGUUUACUUCCCGGGGCACAAGUGUACCCGACCCCAAUGUUAUCUCGUGGUGGGAGAUCAGGAAGAAGACAACGAGCCAAAGCCGAAACAAAACAGGAGCAGCUCACUCCUGCAUAAGAACCAGAAGAUUAACAAGUUUCUCUUCAUGCUCUUAAUGGAACGCAAGGCUUUCGUUGAUUCAAAGAAGAAGGUUCAAAACAAAGAGUAUUCAACUCCUUCAUGAUACCAGUCUACUCACAAUUUUCUCUCUCAGUCCUUUGUCAAACAGCUCAACUCAAAUCACAAGACAGCUAGCGAAUGGCACCAACACUCAAUGUGGAGUUAACUUGGAGAACUUAAACUACGACCUUUAACUCCACCUUCUACGUGAUUACGUUGGGAGUUUUGAAGCUGUACCUGGUAUCCAAUGGUUGACUCAAGUAAACCCAGUUAGCAUCAGACUUCAAGAAACAUGAGUGAUCAAUUCAUUGGCAGGGUGACAAGCUGCAAUUGCGACAAGCCAGCUGCACUUCUCCUGACUUUCAAGUAGUCAUAGAUAAGAACUCAUCAAGCCACAAAAGGAACAAGUCUGUUUCCUGGUGCAAUUAGCAGCAGUAGAGGCUCAACAACUCUCUCAUCAUGUUCCCUCUUCUGUUCGGCAGGUGAUCGAUGCGUACAAGAAAGUUUCCAAGCCCCUAAAUCCUGACCUGCUUACUAAGGAAGAUCACCUUUUACCCAUAUAAUGGAGGGAAGCAGGCAUGCACACAUGACCCCUACAAAUUCCCAUAUUUCUGACGCUUGGAAAUUGAGAAAAUUGUCCAAGAAAUGCUCGACAUCAGUAAUCCAGCAUAGCCAAUACCCAUAUGCCUCUCCUGCCCUCGUCAAGAAACGAGACAACACAUGAAUGUCUAGCGUGAAUUGAAUUACAGGCUCCAAACGACAUUAAAGUAAAAAUUAGAUUUCCCACAUUGCUAAAUGAAGAAAUGAUUGACGAAUUACAUAGAAGUUGUGUGUUUAGCAAGCUGGAAGUUCAAAGC